rnacentral:lncRNA from 1 species
CAGCGUUUUUAGAACUAAACGCCGCUAAAGAUCAUGACUUUUAACAGCGCUUUUCCCUCAAAUGACGCUAUAAAUCAUGACUUUUAGCGGCGCUUUUUCCACAAACGCCGCUAUAGAUCAUGACUUUUAGCAGUGCCUUUCCCACAAACGCCGCUAUAGAUCAUGACUUUUAGCGACGCUUUUUCCACAAACGCCGCUAUAGAUCAUGAUCAUGACUUUUAGCGGUGCCUUUCCCACAAACGCCGCUAUAGAUCAUGACUUUUAGCGGCGCUUUUUUUAUAAAAGCCACUAAAGAACAUGACCUUUAGUGACGUGUUUUAAAAAAAUGCCACUAAUUUUGGCAGAUUUGUAAAAUAAAAUUUUCCAUAUUUUCAGCCCUCCUGUAGCUUAGAAACCAACCAAAAGAAACAAAUCUAAAUAAUAUUUCAAAUUAAACGAAUAAUAUAUAAUAUAAAUAUCAAUAAAUGAAAUAUAAAUCAUAUUAUUCUCAGAAUAAUGUUAAAAGUUAAAAUGAUAAAAAUAUUUUAUACGAUAGUCUAGGAUGGCGGAUGUUGCGACUGCUGAAACAUCUUCAUCAUAUUCUGAAGCUGUUGUUGGAGUUCGUUGUACUUUCUCCUCUGCUCUGCUUCCCUUGCUGCUGCAUUACCUUUAAGUUAUGUAAGUUAUAUAUUAAGUAAAUUAUGUAAGUUGUCUUAUAUAAGUUAUGUAUUAUGUAAGUUAUGUAUAUAUCAUAGUAUUAUGUAUUUUAUGUAAGUUAUGUCUUAUGUAGGUUAUGUAAGUUAUGUAUUAUGUAAGUUAUAUAAAUAUUUGUCUUUGUGUAUUAUGUAACUUAUAUAAUUUAUGUAGGUUAUGUAUUAUUAUGUAAGUUUUGUUGGUUAUGUAAGUUGUAAUAUGAUUAAUAUUUAUGUAUGUAAGUUAUGAUAUGAUUGAUAAGUUUCAGUUAUAUAAGUUAUGUAUUAUGUAAGUUUAUGUAUGUAGGUUAUGUAAGUUAUGUAAUGUAUCAAUUUUUAAAAAUAUAUAUAAAUUUUAAAAAUAUAUACAUUAAAACUAUAUAUAAAUAUUAAUAAGUUAUGUAAAUUAUGUAUUAAAAAUUUAAAUUAUGUAAAUUAUGUAAUAUUAGAGUAUAUCACUUUAUGUAUCUUAUUUAUAAUUAUUUAUAAAAUUUAAAAAUUUAUUAGUAAUAAAUUUGAAAUAUAAGUUAUUUAAGUAAUGUAAGUUAUAAAUUUUAAAAUAUUUAUAUUGAAAAUAUAUAUAUUAAUAAGUUAAAUUAAAUUUUAAAAAUAUAUUUAAAAUAUAUAUUAAAUUUUAAAAAUAUAUAUACUAAUUUUUUUAAAAUAUAUAUAUUAAAUUUUAAAAUAUAUAUUAAAUCUUAAAUAUAUAUUAAUAAGUUAUGUAAUUAUGUAUUAAAAAUUGAUAAUUCAUUGACAUUCAAUCAAUUAAUUGAUCAAUUUAUUGUAUGUAAAAGAUAAUUAAACAUUAACAUUCAAUCAAUUAAUCACAUCUAACGUCGAUAAUUAAUUAAAUUAGAAGUAAAAUUGAUAAUUCAUUGACAUAAAAUCGAAAAUCGAAAAAUUAUUCACAUUAAACCGAAUAAACUAAUCGCCUAUAAUUUAUUCAAUUACUCAAAUAUAUAAAGUGAUUUAAGAAUUAUAAUCCGAAGUUUAAUAAUUUGUGUAAUUGUUUUUGCUUGGGUAAAUAAUACGUGGAGAAAUAUAAAAUCAUAAUUUAAACCUCGCAAUUAUGUAAUAAGCUGCAAAGUUACAUGCAAAUUGAGCUAGAAACAUAUAAAGCAAAAUUGAUAAUUAAAACUGAUACCCAUAGGUUUAAAACCAAAAAUCUUAAUUAAAACUCCCUUUUAAAACUAAAAAAUAAUAAGUAAACUAUGAAGCUAAAAUAUAACCAAAUCCGAAAUUUAAAUAUUUGGAGGUGCUUUUUUAAGAAUACUAUCUAGGGAAGCAUAUGAAUAAAUACCUCAAAUUUCCUCGAUUUCAAAGCAAACUUCUGCAAAAAAAAAAAAACACAAGUAAAUUAGUACCAAAAAAACAGAAGUAAACAGAAGAUUAUUUAACUAAAUUAAGAUUCAAAUCUAAAUUUGAAUUUUAAUUAUCACAACAUUCAACUUAAAUUAAAUCAAAAUCUUAAAUUUGAUUCAUUUGACACUAAGCCUAAAUUUAGGAUCUAAGCAACCAUUCUUUUACAAAUUUUGAACAGUUGACAGUAGCCAAGCCGGAUGUCUACAGCCUGUCUCCAGUCACAAUUUGGGCAAAGCAGCAUUGAGUCUCAUAGCCCACAAGAUAUAAUUACUAACAUAUAAUAUAAUGUAAAAAAGAACUAUUAUUAAAUACUGAAUUUUGCUCUCGCAAAACAAACUAGAAAACAGAACAGCAAUUUGCCUAGUAUGUUUGGUAUGCAAGUGUAUAUUUGUUCAAUUCCUACAUUACAUUGACAUACAAUGCUUUCUGAAACCAACAUCAUUAUGUAGCUUAAUAUGUAGCCAAAUGGAGGUUAAGACAUAUAUAAAUCUUCAUUGAAUAUAUAUAUCUUCAUUGAAUAACAUGUUAUUAGUAAAUAGAGUAAUAUCCUAGUAGGCAAAAAAUUGAUAUUUUGCUUGACUACAUCUAACUGUAAUGACCUUAGGGACCUUCGAUUGAGUUACUAAUAGUCGAGUGUUUUUUUUUUUGAAUAAUAAAAUGAACUGUGGAUAUACUUAGGAGGAUCACAGAAUUUAUAGGUUGAUAUUUAAGAAAGAAAAAGAAGUAUAACCAAAAAGACAUUGAUCAAAGACUACAAAUGGAAUGAAACUAUGAUUGAAUGGCAAGUGAAAUUUGUUCUAUACCAUUUCGAUCUUUCAAGUUAUAAAGUAAUUCUUGCAAAGUAAAACCACAAGACACUUAAAUUUCAAAACCCAAUAACAUGGGAUCCUUGCAACUAAUUUAAACAAAACAUGAUGGCAAGUCACCAUGCCAUGAAACCCAAAAACAUCAUUAUGAAAAAAGAACCCAUGAUAUCCAAUUAAAUUCACUACAAUUCAAUAUCGUAACAAGCUCUUCACCAUAAAACAGGAGAACAAGGGACAAAACAGAAAAGUCAAUCACAAUAGCAUCCUUAAACCUCAUAAUUGAUAAAUCAACUGUUUCCCUGUCUCACUAUGAAAACAAAAACUCCAAGCUUGUUACAUGCAUGGUCCACAAACAAAUGAAAUCAAUUGUCUAAAUAUGGAAACAAUUUUCUAAAUGCCAUUAAAGGCAAAAUGGAAUCAUUCCAUUGAAAUGAAAGCAAAUGCAAUAAUGAAAUUAGAGAAAAGGUAAUUUACCUUUCCACAAACACCUUUACAACACCCUACACUUUGAGAAGUUACAGUUCCUACACUUUGACUCCUACACUUUGACUCCUAUCCAGAAAACAGAAUAGCAAUAACAUUGGUAUUGAAGUAAAGUUCUUCAUAUUACCUAAAACAGAAUAGCAAAGUUCUUCAUAUUACUUAAAACAAAGGACGAAUUCACUAGAUUUCGGGGUUAAUAACGUUGAAAUAAACAAAGAAUUCACACAAGAUACACAUAUAUCCCAAAACCUAGACACGCAAAAAUAAUAAUCAUCUAAAACUGGUCCAUUUCUGGUGAUUGAAGUUGGUAUCUAAACCCUAAAUUCCCAAAUUUGGUAUCUAAACCCCAAAUUCCCAAAUUUCACUAAAAAAACCCUAAAUGUAGAUAGACUGUUUCAAUAGAAAAAAAGGCUUACCUGGGCAACCAAUUUCGCAACUUUGAUAGUAUUGUCUCAAGAUUGACUCAACCUUUGCUUCAUUUCACAAGAUUUCUGAGUUCUCCUCUCCUUUUUUUUUCUUUGUAUUUUUCUUCGUUUCUAAUUUCUGAUUUCCUCCUUUGCUUCUGUUUCCUUCUUUGCCUUCUAGGAUUCUAUAGGGAAACGGAUAAGUUAAAAAUCAUGUGGAG